GAUGAACGCUGGCGGCGUGCUUAACACAUGCAAGUCGAACGGAAAGGCCCAAGCUUGCUUGGGUACUCGAGUGGCGAACGGGUGAGUAACACGUGGGUGAUCUGCCCUGCACUUCGGGAUAAGCCUGGGAAACUGGGUCUAAUACCGGAUAGGACGAUGGUUUGGAUGCCAUUGUGGAAAGUUUUUUCGGUGUGGGAUGAGCUCGCGGCCUAUCAGCUUGUUGGUGGGGUAAUGGCCUACCAAGGCGUCGCCGGGUAGCCGGCCUGAGAGGGUGUACGGCCCUACGGGAACUGGGGCACGCUCCAGAAUCGUACGGGAGGCCGCAGGAGGGCAUGUGCCGCGAUGGGCGAAAGGCUGACGGAGCGAUGCCGCGUGAGUGAUGAAGGUCUUGGGAGCGUAAAACUCGGUUAUGAGGGAAGAACAAAUGUGUAAGGAAAAAUGCACGUCUUGACGGUACCUAAUCAGAAAGCCACGGCUAGCUACGUG
rnacentral:rRNA from 1 species